rnacentral:rRNA from 1 species
GGAUGCGAUCAUACCAAUGUUAAUGCACCGGAUCCCAUCAGAACUUCGCAGUUAAGCGCACUUGGGCUAGAGUAGUAUUGGGAUGGGUGACCUCCCGGGAAGUCCUAGUGUCGCAUCCU